GAGUUUGAUCGUGGCUCAGGACGAACGCUGGCGGCGUGCCUAAUACAUGCAAGUCGGAGCGAGUCUCUUCGGAGGCUAGCGGCGGACGGGUGAGUAACACGUAGGCAACCUGCCUCUCAGACCGGGAUAACAUAGGGGAAACUUAUGCUAAAUACCGGAUAGGUUUUUGGAUUGCAUGAUCCGAAAAGAAAGAUGGCUUUCGUCUAUCACUGGGAGAUGGGCCUGCGGCGCAUUAGCUAGUUGGUGGGGUAACGGCCUACCAAGGCGACGAUGCGUAGCCGACCUGAGAGGGUGACCGGCC
rnacentral:rRNA from 1 species